AGGUCUGUGGCCUAGUGGGUUAAGGCGUUAGGGGUUUAGCUCGGGGGUUGAGGGUUCGAAUCCCUCCAAUCUUU
rfam:Acyrthosiphon pisum strain LSR1 Contig1000697, whole genome shotgun sequence.